CCAAAACCUUGCAAAAUGUAAAGAACAUCUUGUCUGAUGUAUGUGACCUGCACAGUAAAACAAUUAGGAGAGCGCCUUCUGACUUCUCCUUAUUGAAAACGUUUGCUCCAUGAAUUAUAUAAAUUACACAAUCUUAUUAUUACUCCUAUUCAAAUGAGAGAAAGGAAAGUGUGUAUCUCUUAAAGCCUCCCCUGUUCUAAUGGAAACUUCACCAGGGCUAGGAACAUUGGCUUCUUGUCCAGUAUAAGUAAAAUGGCUAGAGCAUGAAGAUAAUAACUUACUCAGAAUAAUGUUAAUGUUCCAAAUGUGUGGAGUAAAAUUUCUCAACCUUUUCAAAUGUAGGCCACAUUCACCCUUUCUUAUCCAUAUAUGGGCCACCAUGUUUAAUAAAAAGAUAAUGUAUUGAAACUCAUGGCAAUCUAUAUAAGAUGUUACCAACUUACUACUGCAAACAGUUUCACAUGUUGUGUAUGAUCUGAAGCUUUCACGGCGACUAAAUACAAUGAAUUCUUUCCAGGUUACCAGCCGUGUAAGGUGGUUUAAUGAAGAAAACACUGACGCUUCGAGAACCAUCUAGUCCCUAUCUCCGGAGAUAGUGACUAGCUCUAUCGAUUGGACCAGCCCAACAGAUGAACGGGACAAGAUAUAUUGUCAAGAAACAACAGCCAAAUCUUCUUGUAAUAAUAUAAAUCACAUUAUAUAAAUAAGAUGAUUAGAUCAAGGAUCACAAGGUAGGUGGGACAUGUAGCAUUCAUACGUGAGAUGAGAAACAAGAACAUAAAUUUGGUUGGGAAAUCCCAAUGGAAGAGACCACUUUAAAAACGUAAGAAGUAAUGGUAGGACAAUGUUAAAAUGUAGAUUUGAGAAACAGGGUUUCUAAGAAAUAAUUGCCUUCUUAUUUUCAGCUGUACCUUGUAACUUUCAAAUAAACAUUGAGUACAGGGCUGAAAAGUUUUUCAACAACUUCAUCUGAAAGGGCACAACUCAACUACUGAUUUCACACUGCAGAAGACGGUGCUGUAAAUGGAAUGGGAAUGCAACAACUAGUUAAAAAGGAGAACAAGCCCAAAAUUACCCCAGUUGUCCCAUCUGGAGAAAAAGCACAUGAAACACUAAGCAAUGAGUGUGUAAUAUUGUGAGGCCCCUGGUGUUGGACUGCACAUUUCUAUGUGCUAGAAACUGUGCCAAGCAAACCUGACCCUCAAAUGGCAAAUUGUAUUAUGGGGGAGAAAAAUUGGUUGAACCUAUGUUUGUGUGAGUGUAUAACAGGAACAAAGAAUUCUACAGUUGUUUGUCUGAGGGAAAAGAAAUGUUUACACAAUGUGUUCACAUUUUAAAUUAAAUACAUUAAUAAUAUCACAAUAUCUUUCAAAAUAUGAAUCAAAUGUUGGCAGAAAUUGUAAAUACACAUGAUAUUCCUUUCAAUUAGAAGAAAUCUUGCAGAGUGACAGCUUGAGGAACAGUUCCGAGUGGUAAAGUAAAGUCUUUCGAACAAUGUGUAAUUUACUUAAUUGUUAUAUACGAGUGUUUAAGAAAAGAUGCAAUGUUUUAUCAAAAAAAACAUGCACAGUGUAGUGUAACUGUGGGAUUUAAAUCAGGUCAGCAGGGGCUAUGGAAAUUUAAAAGCCUGGUACUUUAAAGGUUAAAUUUGAUAUUGGUAAGUUCUGUAACAUUUUUGAACACAUUCCAACUUUAUUUGAAAUGCACAACAAUAAUGGGUGCUUUACACGAAGACCACAUGUGUUUCUGCACACUGAAGUAGCUGGGUUGGGAAUCUCCAGGCUGUCUUGGUUAUAGUUCAAAGAUCAAAUUAUAAAGAAGUAGUCUUAACUGGUACUGUUUCUAAACUUCAUCUUAAUAGAAAAUAAGCGUUUAAUUUUUUCAAAGUUAGAAAUGAAAUACAAGUGGACCUCAUCUGUAAUAAUACCAAUGGAAAAGAGUAUUCAUAGCCAUCUCUUAAGUACUGAAGCUUACAUUUUAUGAACUUUCAGCAACAGAAUGUAAAAAUAAAAUGAAAAGUUUUGACAUAAUCCCUCAGCAGUGAAAGGGUCCCAAUAGUAAGAAAGGCAAUGUUUAAUUUCACAUGUGAAAGCUGCAAUUUCUUAUAACAGAUUCCAAUCACUGAAAAUUCUUUACAUAAAGUGUAUAAAAUAAUUGGGAUGUCUGCCUGCACACAUUUCACUGUUCUAGGAAUGUAAUAAAACUUACUACUUCAGAUUCA